rnacentral:rRNA from 1 species
GAUGAACGCUGGCGGCGUGCCUAAUACAUGCCAGUCGAGCGAACAGACGAGGAGCUUGCUCCCCUGACGUUAGCGGCGGACGGGUGAGUAACACGUGGAUAACCUACCUAUAAGACUGGGAUAACUUCGGGAAACCGGAGCUAAUACCGGAUAAUAUAUUGAACCGCAUGGUUCAAUAGUGAAAGACGGUUUUGCUGUCACUUAUAGAUGGAUCCGCGCCGCAUUAGCUAGUUGGUAAGGUAACGGCUUACCAAGGCAACGAUGCGUAGCCGACCUGAGAGGGUGAUCGGCCACACUGGAACUGAGACACGGUCCAGACUCCUACGGGAGGCAGCAGUAGGGAAUCUUCCGCAAUGGGCGAAAGCCUGACGGAGCAACGCCGCGUGAGUGAUGAAGGUCUUCGGAUCGUAAAACUCUGUUAUUAGGGAAGAACAAAUGUGUAAGUAACUAUGCACGUCUUGACGGUACCUAAUCAGAAAGCCACGGCUAACUACGUG